UGGCUUAUUUUUGAACUUGGUCUACACAGCAGCAGCUUUGUUCCCGGGUCUUCCUGCUGCAGCCUUUGUCCUGUGGGCUUGUCGCCUGAAGCCUUGGCACAGUGGGUCUGAGUGGGACACAACCCUGGCCAGGAGGGGCAGGCAGAGGGAGGGGGAGACCCAGUAGGCACCCCCUGCCAGCCUCCCUAACUUGGCCUUGGAGGCGGAGGCCUGGGUUCUAGUCCUGCAUCUGCUGCAGGCCUGCUGGGCAACCUCUCGGGCAUGUCUGCUUGAGAGGGAAAAGGAGAGGG
rnacentral:lncRNA from 10 species